rnacentral:lncRNA from 1 species
AAUUGUUCCUACAUGCCAUUAACAAUUUGAGCUCAUGUCUCCUCCUUCCCUGAGUUGGAAAUUUUUGGAGCCUAAUAUGAACUGUACUGCUACACCUGCUACAGACUAGAGCAGAUUUAUUCAGCUAUUGUCCGCAAUAAAAAAGAUGAUUUACUUUGUUAUGCUUCUUGUGUUGAAUCAAAGGACAUGCCAACAGUAC